GCCGAAAUAGCUCAGUUGGGAGAGCGUUAGACUGAAGUCCCAAAGGUCCCUGGUUCGAUCCCGGGUUUCGGCA